CAUUAGAUGACUGAAAACAAGUAAUGGUCUCUUAAACCAAAUUAUAGUAACUAAUAAUUACUUCUAAUGA
rnacentral:tRNA from 2 species